UACGAGGGGGGCGAGCGUUAUUCGGAAUUACUGGGCGUAAAGGGCUCGUAGGCGGCCAACUAAGUCAGACGUGAAAUCCCCAGGCUCAACCUGGGAACUGCGUCUGAUACUGAUUGGCUUGAAUCCGGGAGAGGGAUGCAGAAUUCCAGGUGUAGCGGUGAAAUGCGUAGAUAUCUGGAGGAAUACCGGUGGCGAAGGCGGCAUCCUGGACCGGCAUUGACGCUGAGGUACGAAAGCGUGGGGAGCAAACAGG
rnacentral:rRNA from 1 species